UACGGAAGGCAGCAGUGGGGAAUAUUGGACAAUGGGCGCAAGCCUGAUCCAGCCAUGCCGCGUGUGUGAAGAAGGCCUUCGGGUUGUAAAGCACUUUUGUCCGGAAAGAAAAGCUUAGGGUUAAUAACCUUGAGUCAUGACGGUACCGGAAGAAUAAGCACCGGCUAACUUCGUGCCAGCAGCCGCGGUAAUACGAAGGGUGCAAGCGUUACUCGGAAUUACUGGGCGUAAAGCGUGCGUAGGUGGUUUGUUAAAGUCUGAUGUGAAAGCCCUGGGCUCAACCUGGGAAUGGCAUUGGAAACUGGCUUACUAGAGUGCGGUAGAGGGGUGUGGAAUUCCCGGUGUAGCAGUGAAAUGCGUAGAUAUCGGGAGGAACAUCUGUGGCGAAGGCGACACCCUGGACCAGCACUGACACUGAGGCACGAAAGCGUGGGGAGCAAACAGGGAUUAGAUACC
rnacentral:rRNA from 1 species